rnacentral:rRNA from 1 species
AGCGAACGCUGGCGGCAGGCCUAACACAUGCAAGUCGAACGAACCUUUCGGGGUUAUUGGCGGACGGGGGAGUAACCCGUGGGAACGUGCCUUUAGGUUCGGAAUAACUCAGGGAAACUUGUGCUAAUACCGAAUGUGCCCUUCGGGGGAAAGAUUAAUCGCCUUUAGAGCGGCCCGCGUCUGAUUAGCUAGUUGGUUGAGGUAAUGGCUCACCAAGGCGACGAUCAGUAGCUGGUCUGAGAGGAUGGUCAGCCACAUUGGGACUGAGACACGGCCCAAACUCCUACGGGAGGCAGCAGUGGGGAAUCUUGCGCAAUGGGCGAAAGCCUGACGCAGCCAUGCCGCGUGAAUGAUGAAGGUCUUAGGAUUGUAAAAUUCUUUCACCGGGGACGAUAAUGACGGUACCCGGAGAAGAAGCCCCGGCUAACUUCGUG